AGACAUUUACCAUUUACUAAGUCCACAACUCCUUUCUUGUCUCCUUCAAAAAUGACUCUUGUGUAACCAUCAUAUGACUCCGACAGUUCGGCAUUGCCAUGAUGAGAGCUUAAAAAUUCACCUUCCUGAGCAUUUCAAGUCUUCACUCCCUUAGCUUGACCUGAACCAAGAUAAAAUGCCUUUGUCGUCCCGUAAUAUCCAUCCUG